rnacentral:rRNA from 1 species
GAUGAACGUUGGCGGUGUGCCUAAUACAUGCAAGUCGAACGGAGUUAAUAGCAAUAUUGACUUAGUGGCGAACGGGUGAGUAACGCGUUGGUGAUCUGCCUUGAAGUGUGGAAUAACGCUCCGAAAGGAGCGCUAAUACCGCAUGUGCUCUCGGAGUUUAGAAAUCUGAGAGUAAAGGAUUUAUUCGCUUCAGGAGGAGCCUGCGUCCCAUCAGCUGGUUGGCAGGGUAAAAGCCUACCAAGGCAAUGACGGGUAGGGGACCUGAGAGGGUGGCCCCCCACAAUGGAACUGAAACACGGUCCAUACACCUACGGGUGGCAGCAGUAGGGAAUAUUAGAAAUGGACGAAAGUCUGAUCUAGCGACACCGCGUGUGCGAAGAAGGCCUUCGGGUUGUAAAGCACUUUUUGGAAGGAAUAGGAAGGAAGGUACUUCCAGAAUAAGUCUCGGCUAACUACGUG